rnacentral:rRNA from 1 species
UACGUAGGUGGCAAGCGUUGUCCGGAAUUAUUGGGCGUAAAGGGCGCGUAGGCGGCCCUCCUAGUCGCGUGUGAAAGCCCCGGGCUCAACCUGGGAAUUGCGCGCGAAACGGGGGGGCUUGAGAUUGGGAGAGGGAUGCGGAAUUCCAGGUGUAGCGGUGAAAUGCGUAGAUAUUUGGAGGAACACCAGUGGCGAAGGCGACUUUCUGGUCUGUAACUGACACUGAGGCGCGAAAGCGUGGGGAGCGAACAGG